AACGAACGCUGGCGGCAGGCUUAACACAUGCAAGUCGAGCGCCUCGCAAGAGGAGCGGCAGACGGGUGAGUAACGCGUGGGAAUGUACCCUUUGCUACGGAAUAGCUCCGGGAAACUGGAAUUAAUACCGUAUGUGCCCUUCGGGGGAAAGAUUUAUCGGCAAAGGAUCAGCCCGCGUUGGAUUAGCUAGUUGGUGGGGUAAUGGCCUACCAAGGCGACGAUCCAUAGCUGGUCUGAGAGGAUGAUCAGCCACACUGGGACUGAGACACGGCCCAGACUCCUACGGGAGGCAGCAGUGGGGAAUAUUGGACAAUGGGCGCAAGCCUGAUCCAGCCAUGCCGCGUGAGUGAUGAAGGCCCUAGGGUUGUAAAGCUCCUUCACCGGUGAAGAUAAUGACGGUAACCGGAGAAGAAGCCCCGGCUAACUUCGUG
rnacentral:rRNA from 1 species